CUCAGGUCGUGGUUGUGGCGCUCCUCGAUGUCGCUGAGCUGCCUCUCCAGGGACUCCUUGGUGCCACGUACCGAUUCGAGCUCGAUGCUCUUGGACUGGAGCUGACGGCGGUACUCAGCGAUCUCUUCCUUGGCCGAGCGGAUGGCCUCCUUGUUUUGCUCGGCCGCCUCGGUGAGCUUCGCGUAGCGGCACUUGAACCAUUCUUCCGCCUGGUGCAUGUUCUGGUCCGAGUGGCACUCGAGCUGGGAGCGGAUCUCUUUUAGCGCCGACGAGAUGUCUGUCUUCAGGUAGUCUUUGCGCUCCACGGUGAUGUGCGACCCCUGGAUCUGGGCCAGCAGGUCGGCCACCUCCUCCUCGUGAUUGCUGCGCAGGAAGGCGACCUCGUCCUGCAACGACUGCACCUUCUUGUCCAGCUCCACCUUGACCAGCGACGACUCCUCGAUGUCUUUGCGCAGGGCGCGGAUGGCGGCCUCCGUGUCGUCGCGCAGCCGCGCCUCCUCCUCGAAGCGCUCCUUCAGCCGGUGGAUGUCCUCCUCCAGGUGGUCGGAGUCCAGCUGCACCUGCGCCUUCUCGUGGUUCACCAUCUCCAGGGUGGCUCGCAGCUCGCGGAUCUCCUGGUCGUACGCGUCGCCCAGCUGGGCGUGCGAGGCUUGCUUCUGCCGCAGCGCCUGGAUCUCUGCCUCGAUCUCCUUGUUCUGCUGUUCCAGAAAGGAAGGCAAGUUUUUGCAUUUUUUACCCCAACAACAAUAUGGCUACAGAAAAAAAUAACAAGAGAAGAAAUAAGCCUGGGGAUUUAUCUUCAUUUACAACACUGCACUGAUGGAGCUCAGAUUUUCAUGGUGACGUUGAGAUAGGUGGUUGGCCCAGAAGUGGUGACAUGUCAUCCUGCCUAGUUUGGUCCAGCAAUGUAUUCCUCUGCACUUAGUAGUAUUUUGAAUCACAAGGCCAUCAUCACUAUCAUCAUCAGAAAAAGCCACCACUAUCUUCAUGUGAACAUGUUUACAUAUGGACAAUGCUUUACAUUAAAGAAGAUAAACCAAGACAGAAUAAAAAUAAAACAAAAGUCCAUUAAGUUGCCAGACCUGAAUACCAGGGGUGGGCAGGGCAGUGCACACAUUGUUUCCAUUUUAUAGGUGACGAAAUGAAGUAAGGGAUUUGUUCAAGGUCUUCAUGUGUAAGUGAUGAAUCAGGACCAGAUUUGGACAACCCAUAUCUUGGACAACAGUAUUGGCAGUAAAAAUAGAACUCUUUUAAUAAGGUAUAAAAUAUAGUCUGGAUAAAUAAAUAUGAAAAAAUAAAAGAAGGCAAAUAUUGAUGACAUCAGGAACUGUAAGUAGUAUUUGUUGAGUGCUUACUAUGUGCUAAGACUUUUCUGGUUUAUCUAAUUUAGUCGUCAUAACAACCUAUGCAGUGCAUACUAUCAUUAUUAUCAGCUGAAGGAAAGUCAAUUGAUGCAUAAAGGCACUCUCACUGCCAUGCAGUCAAUGUGGACUCAGUGAACCUUUAUGGGUUUCCGAGACUGUAACUGU